rnacentral:snoRNA from 1 species
UCCAGUCGUUGUUUAUGAUGACAACAUAUCUCAGCUCACUCAGAUCAUUCAUGAUCGAAAACUUUAUCCUAUAUCCAACAUUCAUCAAAGUACUGAUUAAACUAC